rnacentral:misc_RNA from 1 species
UUGAUUCGUUUGUUUUCACUCAGAAGGAGAUUCCGCUAACCGCGCAGGCAAGAGUUUGGGUCCCCCGGCGGGCGCCGGGGCGGUCCGCCGAAGCAACGUGCGGUAUGUUCACAGGGGUUUGGGAGUCGGUACAACUCGGUAAUGAUCCCUCCGCUGGUUCACCAACGGAGA